ACAUCAAUGAUGAGACUCCAGUUAAUUUCUUAGGAGCUGAACAUAAUGAGUGAAAACUCUGAAAUGGUCAUGCUCAGCUUUCCUGAGUUUU
rnacentral:snoRNA from 1 species